CCUAACCGGUGAUCUUGGAAAAAAUUCUUAAAGUAUCAAAAUGAUUUCUAGUUCAUGCUAAUAUACAAAAGAUUCUGUCAGCCAAUUGCUACACACACAGAACCAUCCCCUAUCUACUGGAGAGUUUCUACUUUUUCAUGGGUAGAGAACCAGUCUGGUGUAUACACUUCUUAAAUUUUACGUAAACUCAGUACUCCAGUUUGAGAACUGAAAUUUCAACUGCUGAUUAAAUUAUUUUAAAGCAUAACACUCAAGCAAAACUAGAAUAUUAAUAGCUACUUAUGCUUAAUUAUUAAACUUUAAAAUCUCCAAAUUAAAAAUACCCUCUGAUCUGAAGAUCUUUCUUUUGCCAGCUUGAGACUUAAAAAAAAAACCUAAACGCUGGUGUCAAUUUCUGAAGAUCAACUGAAAUUUGGAGAUGACAGCAGUUUUUAAGGAGUUCAUUAGACUUCUAAUUAUUGACUGACUUCCUUUCUAUGUC
rnacentral:lncRNA from 1 species